UGAUCGCAGUGGAGGCUUAGUCUUUAA
rnacentral:sRNA from 1 species